GGGCGUAUAGCUCAAUGGUAGAGCAGUGGCCUUUUAAGCCAUUUGUUCUGGGUUCGAGCCCCAGUACGCUCAC
rnacentral:tRNA from 1 species